UGGGAGCUGAAGUGCAGAUGGGCAGCAC
rnacentral:piRNA from 1 species